rnacentral:rRNA from 1 species
GACGAACGCUGGCGGCGUGCUUAAUACAUGCAAGUCGAACGGUAAGGCCCUGCUUUUGCGGCAUUCUCGAGUGGCGCAAGGGUGUGUAUCACGUGAGUAACCUGCCCCUUACUUUGGGAUAACUCCUGUAAACUCGGGUUAAUACCGCACAGGAGCUCCUGCUGCAUGGUGGGGGAUGUAAAGUUUCGGCGUUUGGGGAUGGACUCGCGGCCUAUCAGCUUGUUGGCGGGGUAGUGGCUUACAAAGGCGCUGACGGGUAGCCGGACUGCGAGGGUGACCGGCCACAUAGGGCCUGAGAAGCCGGCCGGACGGCUACGGGAGGAAGCAGUGGGGAAUAGGGCACGAUAGGCGGAAGCCGGAUGCAGCAACGCCGCGUGCGGGAUGACGGUCGGCGGGUUGGAAAGCUGUUGCGACUGUAACGAAGAGUGAGUGACGGUAAUGGGUAAAGAAGCAACGGCUAACUACGUG